rnacentral:tRNA from 1 species
UCUCUGGUGGCUCAGUUGGUAGAGAGUCUGCUUGCAACGCAAGAGACCUGGGUUCAAUCCCUGGGUAGGGAA